rnacentral:rRNA from 1 species
GAUGAACGCUGGCGGCGUGCCUAAUACAUGCAAGUCGAGCGAACGGACGAGAAGCUUGCUUCUCUGAUGUUAGCGGCGGACGGGUGAGUAACACGUGGAUAACCUACCUAUAAGACUGGGAUAACUUCGGGAAACCGGAGCUAAUACCGGAUAAUAUUUUGAACCGCAUGGUUCAAAAGUGAAAGACGGUCUUGCUGUCACUUAUAGAUGGAUCCGCGCUGCAUUAGCUAGUUGGUAAGUUACCGGCUUACCAAGGCAACGAUGCAUAGCCGACCUGAGAGGGUGAUCGGCCACACUGGAACUGAGACACGGUCCAGACUCCUACGGGAGGCAGCAGUAGGGAAUCUUCCGCAAUGGGCGAAAGCAUGACGGAGCAACGCCGCGUGAGUGAUGAAGGUCUUCGGAUCGUAAAACUCUGUUAUUAGGGAAGAACAUAUGUGUAAGUAACUGUGCACAUCUUGACGGUACCUAAUCAGAAAGCCACGGCUAACUACGUG